rnacentral:rRNA from 1 species
UUGUUCCUACGGGAGGCAGCAGUGGGGAAUAUUGCACAAUGGGGGAAACCCUGAUGCAGCGACGCCGCGUGAGCGAUGAAGUAUUUCGGUAUGUAAAGCUCUAUCAGCAGGGAAGAAAAUGACGGUACCUGACUAAGAAGCCCCGGCUAACUACGUGCCAGCAGCCGCGGUAAUACGGAGGGUGCGAGCGUUAAUCGGAAUUACUGGGCGUAAAGCGCUCGUAGGCGGUAGGUCAAGUCAAGGGUGAA